rnacentral:rRNA from 1 species
AGAGUUUGAUCCUGGCUCAGGAUGAACGCUGGCGGCGUGCCUAAUACAUGCAAGUCGAACGAGAAACUUCUGGUACUUGUAUCGGUUGUUUUCUAGUGGCGAACGGGUGAGUAACGCGUUGGUGACCUACCCCAAAGUGGGGGAUAACAGAUCGAAAGAUCUGCUAAUACCCCAUGUUGUCAUCGUGCUUAGAAAGCGAUGAUUAAAGGAGCAAUCCGCUUUGGGAGGGGCCUGCGUCCCAUCAGCUAGUUGGUAGGGUAAUGGCCUACCAAGGCAAUGACGGGUAAGGGACCUGAGAGGGUGGCCCCUCACAAUGGAACUGAAACACGGUCCAUACACCUACGGGUGGCAGCAGUAGGGAAUAUUGCACAAUGGGCGAAAGCCUGAUGCAGCAACGCCGCGUGUACGAUGAAGGUUUUCGGAUUGUAAAGUACUUUUCAGGGAGAUGAGAAAGGACAGUACCCCUGGAAUAAGUCUCGGCUAACUACGUGCCAGCAGCCGCGGUAACACGUAGGAGGCGAGCGUUAUCCGGAUUUACUGGGUGUAAAGCGCGUGCAGGCGGUUUGAUAAGUUGGAUGUGAAAGCUCCUGGCUUAACUUGGAGAGGUCGUUCAAAACUAUCAGACUAGAGAAUGGUAGAGGAAGAUGGAAUUCCCGGUGUAGUGGUGAAAUGCGUAGAUAUCGGGAGGAACACCAGUGGCGAAGGCGGUCUUCUGGCCCAUUUCUGACGCUCAGACGCGAAGGCUAGGGUAGCAAACGGGAUUAGAGACCCCGGUAGUCCUAGCAGUAAACGAUGUGAACUUGGCGUUGGUGGUGUAAAAACCAUCAGUGCCGUAGCUAACGCGAUAAGUUCACCACCUGGGAACUACGGCCGCAAGGUUAAAACUCAAAGGAAUUGACGGGUCCCCGCACAAGCAGCGGAGCGUGUGGUUUAAUUCGAUUUACACGAAGAACCUUACCCGGGUUUGACAUGCAAGUGGUAGUGAAGCGAAAGCGGAACGACCCUUCGGGGAGCUUGCACAGGUGCUGCAUGGCUGUCGUCAGCUCGUGUCGUGAAAUGUCCGGUUAAGUCCGGUAACGAGCGCAACCCUCGCCGUAUGUUACAAGUGUCAUACGGGACCGCCGGUAUCAAGCCGGAGGAAGGUGGGGAUGACGUCAAGUCAGCAUGGCCUUUAUACCCGGGGCUACACACACGCUACAAUGGCCGGUACAAUAGGUU